AGCUUCUCGCGCCGGGCUCGCCCCCGGGACAGGCACCCUGAGUCCACCCCCGCCGGCCGACGGCGCAGGGGACCCCCGCUCGCUGGCGGGGCCUCCGGGGCUCAGGGCGGGCGCGGGGGGUGGCAGCGGAGCCUGGGCUGCAGGUCCCUGGAGGGGAGGAGAAGCCAGGAGGUCUUCAGCAGAGAGGAGGACCGGGCGCUGGAGGUGGGUUCCGGCACACGUGGCCAUGCAGGCAUCCCAGUGGCUUGGACGUGGCCAGCUGCCAGAGCAGCCUGUGGUGUUUUGAACCAGCCUCCAGGUUGGAGCCAGCGUCCUCUUUACCCGAGCCAGCCUUGGCAGCCACUGAGCCUUCCGUUCUGCUGAGCUUCCUGUGUCCUCGCUGGCCUUGUCCUGGGUUCCUUUAGCACACGGUGGGAGACACACCCGGAAGUCCUUCAGCACUGAGGCUCACGGCAGCGAUCAUGGCACGGUCUGCGGUGGCAUCAGGAGUUGCCACAGGUGUGCUGGGCCCCAGGGCUUCAAGAGGGCUGUAC
rnacentral:lncRNA from 1 species